rnacentral:tRNA from 7 species
GGAAGGCAUUCGUGCCCGGUGGCACGGCUGGGCUUCAAACCCAGUUGGGGGCGUCAGACGUUCCCAGGUAGGUUCGACUCCUGCUGCCUUCCGCCA